CAAGAAGUAGUUUAAUUAGAAUAUCAGCUUUGGGUGUUGAUGGUGGGGAAAAAAUUCCUUCUUCUUGA
rnacentral:tRNA from 1 species